UACGUAGGGGGCAAGCGUUAUCCGGAAUUAUUGGGCGUAAAGAGUACGUAGGUGGCAACCUAAGCGCAGGGUUUAAGGCAAUGGCUCAACCAUUGUUCGCCCUGCGAACUGGGAUGCUUGAGUGCAGGAGAGGAAAGCGGAAUUCCUAGUGUAGCGGUGAAAUGCGUAGAUAUUAGGAGGAACACCAGUGGCGAAGUCGGCUUUCUGGACUGUAACUGACACUGAGGUACGAAAGCGUGGGGAGCAAACAGG
rnacentral:rRNA from 1 species